rnacentral:rRNA from 1 species
UACGUAGGUGGCAAGCGUUGUCCGGAAUUAUUGGGCGUAAAGCGCGCGCAGGCGGUCUCUUAAGUCUGAUGUGAAAGCCCCCGGCUUAACCGGGGAGGGUCAUUGGAAACUGGGAGACUUGAGUGCAGAAGAGAAGAGUGGAAUUCCACGUGUAGCGGUGAAAUGCGUAGAGAUGUGGAGGAACACCAGUGGCGAAGGCGACUCUUUGGUCUGUAACUGACGCUGAGGCGCGAAAGCGUGGGGAGCAAACAGG